CCCCUAGAUGUUCUGGGCCGCACGCGCGCUACACUGAACAGUUCAACAAGUCUUAACCUUGGCCGAUAGGUCUGGGUAAUCUUUGAACGCUGUUCGUGAUUGGGAUAGACCUUUGCAAUUAUGGGUCUUCAACGAGGAAUUCCUAGUAAACGCAAGUCAUCAGCUUGCAUUGAUUACGUCCCUGCCCUCUGUACACACCGCCCGUCGCACCUACCGAUUGAAUGGUCCGGUGAAAUCUCGGGACGGCGGCUUGGUCGCUUGCGUCCGACUGCUGAAACUUGAUUAAACCAUAUCAUUUAGAGGAAGGUGAANUCGUAACA
rnacentral:rRNA from 1 species